rnacentral:lncRNA from 1 species
GGGUGAGAAAAGAAGCGUUUAAAACCGCCGCUACCGACCGCCGCAAACUAUUUGACCUACCCCGGCGGUCGUCAAAACCGCCGCUACAAUGUAGGGACGGUGGUAUUCACGGCGUUCUACCGGCGGUUAUAAAACCGCCGCUAAGUUUUGUAGGGGCGGUUUAAACCGCCGGUAAAGGUCAAGAAAACCGCCGCCAAAAGUCUCUUUUCCUGUAGUGCUUGGGAUGCAUUAUAAAGAAGCUGAUGCUUCUUCUUCUUUCUCCUUCAGCCCGAGCACACACCCACGCACGCAUGGAGUAGAGAGAGAAACACCUCUACCUCUCUCUAGAUAUCUCUCUCAUCUCUCUAAAUCUCUCUCUAAAAAUUGGAGGGUUGGUGGAGAAGAUGCUUGCGAACGCGUUGGAGGCGACGGAUCGGGCUUUCGUGCGGCCGUUGGAGCGGUGUGUUGUCGUCGCGGCGUUCACAUUGAGGUAAACUUUUAGGAUUUGGCUUAAUCCUUAGUUUUAAGUGUUCUAAUAGCCUCUAAUGAGCAUUCUAAACAUGUUUGCUCUAUUUGAUUUGGAUUAUUUAGAGAUUAAUUCAUAUUAGGGCUCAAAAAUGCAAACUUUCAAAAUAUGAGGGUUUGAUCUCAUUUGACCCUUCAUAAACCUAAUUGCUAGGUAACGAAACGCGUUGGCGAAGACGGAUCGGCAAUCCGACGAGCCGUUACAAAGUUAUUAAAGAAACGGACGUUUAGGCUUCGGGUCCGCCGGGAGGGCCGAGGCGACGUCGUAAAAUCAUGGAAAUGGAUUUGAAGCACCGUGGCACGUAACCGAGGACCUAUAAUUUUCGGGGCUGCGAAGCGGAGCACGGUUGAGGCGCAGUUGCGAUAUCGGGCCGUGCCGGAUACGGGUGCCGCGGGAGGCCGAUUGCAAGUGUCGACAAGCAAUCGGAACGCGAGUUAAGGUGGGUUGUGCUUACCGAAGCGACUAGGUCGCCCUUUAUGUCUAAGAGAAAUGUAAAUUCAUAUUGAUGCAUAUAAAUGGUAGAUGAAUGCAAGAGUUAAAUGCUAGGCGAAUGCAUGUUAAUUGCUAUGCUACGACUACCAUAGAAUGCAUGAUGAACAUAUUAUAGAAAUGCUAAAUAAUGCAUGUGAGCAUAUGGUAAAGAAUGCAUGUUAAUGACAUAAUGUAAAUAUGCUUGUUAAUACAUGUAUGAUGACAUGAUGAGAAUAUGCUAGAUUACAUGCAUAUUAACAUGUUGUAGAUCAUGUGAGAAAGAUUAUGCAUGUUGGCAUCACAUAAUGCAUGCUAGAUAAAAUGUUGAUAGUUAUGGAACUCGACAUGGACAAUUAGGAUGUCAAAUAGAUCGAGUGGCACUUAACCUAGUGUAUUAAACAUAGGUUAGACAUGAAUGACAAAGAACCUAGUGUAUAAAACAUAGGUUGGACAUGAAUGACAAUGAACCUAGUGUUAUUGAGCAUAGGUCGAGUGGCAUCUAACCUAGUGCUAAAGAACAUAGGUUAUGGAUUGAACCUAGAGUUAAGUAAACCUAGGUUAUGUGAUAGAGACGUUGAACCUAGAAUCAGUUGGACCUAGGGUGAAAAGGACGUGGACCUAGAUAGGUCAAUACUAUAGGGUUUGAAACCAACCCUUGAGUUAUGAAAUGGAUUCCGGAAUCCCUAGUGACAUGGCCGCACAUGGAGCGGUAGAAAUUGUGGUUAAAGAGAUGGCAAGCGAAUCAUAACUGCAGGUAUGUGUGGUUCUCCUCGCCUGGCAGUGAUUCAACGGGUAUGUGUGGUUCUCCUCGCUCGGGAUGCCAUCAGAAUAAGCUGGAAUUGGGUAUGUGUGGUUCUCCUCGCCCAUUAGCUUAUCGGAUGAUGCCGCCUAGGUUGAAUUGAACCAUUGUUGGGUGAGAGCGAUGUGGUCGCUGCCAGAUGACUAAGUUAUGACUUGAACCAUUGUUGGGUGAGGUGUGAUGAGUUCCCCGCCAGAUGGCUAAGUCAUGACUUGAGUUGUUGUUGGGUGAGAGCGAUGAGUUCGCCGCCAGAUGGUUAAGUCAGAUCUGCGGUAGGCUGCGACGGCAGCCAGGCUGAGGUGCAGCCAGUGCGCGGACUAUCCGCGGAUGAUUGACUCGAGGCCGAGUCGGGUGGUUAGCUUGAUUAGGUUAAUGGGAACCUUAUAAGCUAGUGAUCGAGGCAGAACCUGAGGUAAUAGAGACCUUAGAAGCAAGUUGAACUUGAGUUGAGAACAUAAGGUAAUGGAAACCUUACAAUUGAAUGAAAUGACCUAAAGUAGCAAAGUAAAUGUAGAAUUAACAUAUCUACUAGUUGUUUAUGCAGUUGCAUAGUUGCAUAAUGUUCAUAUUGCAUUUGCGAGGCAAGGUAUGGUUUUAUUAAUUGCAUAGUCAAAUAUCUAUGUAUCUGUUUAUUAAACUAACCUGCAGUUGCCUCCUUCGACCUAUUGGUCGAGCUCCUCCCUUGGGUUGCCAUACCCACUGGGAACCAUGGAGUUGGUUCUCACCGCACGUUGUUUUGGGGUGUUACAGGUUCGCACUUGAGCGGCGCGGCGGCGCGAGGCAAGGGCGUAGCUCCAUAGAUAGCGCCCUACCCCAGAGACCAGAAAUAGCGGUACCCCGAGUUGGCAUAGCCUAGGGGUAGAGGGAAAUGAAAAGAAAACAAUGUAUCAAACCUGUAAUAUUAAUUGUAAUAACUUAAUUGCAUUCGGAGGUUGUAUGUAAUGAAAAAUGUAAAAUGGUUGAAUGUGAAUGCUUGUAAUAACAUAGGAUGUGUUAUGUUUUUGAUACCUCCCACUAUGCAAUCUUGAUUGAUAUAUGUUCCUGGUUGGAACCCUUGUAAUGUUCAUUGUAAUGAUUGCGACGCCUAGGACGUACAGGGAAAACUCUGUCCGUUCGGCGGUCUGUCGACGCGCCCGAACUCGGCCAAAUAGGCGGGGCUCGGGGCGUGACAGGC